ensembl:lncRNA
GAGAGAGAGAGGGAGUGGGGUAUUUUGGGUGGAAGAUGGAUGAUGUUUGGAAUGUGAAGCAGAGCAGCAGAAACGGAGAAGCAUGUAGACAGGCAGCAACAGCACGAGGGGGAGAGACAGAGAGAAACAGGGAGAGAGAAAUGGGGGUGUAGCUGGAGCUCAGCGUGUAACGCUGGGGUUUGAAUGGAAUUUGUGUGUGUGUGUGUGUGUGUGUGUGUGUGUGUCUGUGUGUGUUGGAGGUAGAGGCUGAUAUCUGUGUGGGGCGUGACCGGCAUGGCGAGAGGAUCCGACUGUGGCGCCGAUUCCACCGAGCUGGAGGAGGAGGAGGAGGAGGAGGAGGAGG